AUCGAACGCUGGCGGCAGGCCUAACACAUGCAAGUCGAACGAGUGGCGGACGGGUGAGUAAUGUCUGGGAAACUGCCCGAUGGAGGGGGAUAACUACUGGAAACGGUAGCUAAUACCGCAUACCAUCGGAUGUGCCUAGAUGGGAUUAGCUAGUGGGUGGGGUAACGGCUCACCUAGGCGACGAUCCCUAGCUGGUCUGAGCGGAUGACCGGCCACACGGGAACUGAGACACGGUCCAGACUCCUACGGGAGGAGGCAGUGGGGAAUGUUGGACAAUGGGCGCAAGCCUGAUGCGGCCAUGCCGCGUGUAGGAGGAAGGCCUUCGGGUUGUAAAGUACUUUCAGCGAGGAGGCGUUACUCGCAGAGGAAGCACCGGCUAACUCCGUGCCAGCAGCCGCGGUAAUUC
rnacentral:rRNA from 1 species